rnacentral:ncRNA from 1 species
UCUAGUGUAGAUAGUGGAACGCUCUGGGAAGUGCGGCCAUAGUGGGUGAUAGCCCCGUACACGACAUCUUAUCAAGAGUGAAAUCGAGUAGGGCGGGACACGUGAAAUCCUGUCUGAAUAUGGGGGGACCAUCCUCCAAGGCUAAAUACUACUGACUGACCGAUAGUGAACCAGUACCGUGAGGGAAAGGCGAAAAGAACCCCUGUGAGGGGAGUGAAACAGAACCUGAAACCGUAUGCGUACAAGCA